CCCUCUCUCUCUCUCUCUCUCGGUUAUGCCUACUCUCAGGAGGAAAAACGCGAAAGCCGACGCCCCGUUCUUUCUCAGAUUUCCUUCUGGCUGCUUGAUAUUCACUUUAAGGGAGAUAGACAGUCGGUGCUAAAGUUUGGCGCUCGUAUUUUAAGCCGUGCCUCAUAGUUUGGUUACGCAGAAAGUCAGCUUUGCAUCAGUGAACGAGAAAGAAGUGUGUUGUUUUUACGAUAUAAUAUCGUACGCUAUAAUUUCACCACUGGUAACUUAAUAUCCAUUGUCCGAUAAGUAACCUUGUUGGACGUUUCCAGGGAGGAAACGAAGUUGCGACUUAAGCAUUUUGUCAUUUCAAGAGAAACUUUGAAUCAUGGCAGACUCAGGGGGAACACCAGCCUCGAACUUUUUGGAGAAGCUGAAGGCAUACGUACGAACUCCAAAAGGAGCUAUUCUGUCAGGAGAAAUUCUGAUCAGCUUCAUCAUCAUCAUCUGCUAUGCGGCGUCUCUGUACUCCGGCUACUCCUCCGUGGCCAUCUGUGAGAUGGUGUUUGCCAUCGUCUUCAUGGUCGUCUUCAUGCUGGAGCUGGACAAGCAGUUCCAGGUCAUCAGCUGGCCCUGGUCUGACUUGAUACGCGCUGCGAUUGGUUGUCUCCUGUACCUCAUCACCUCUAUAAUCUGUGUGAUUGGUGGAGGAGGGGACGGAGCACGCAUUGCCGGCGGGGUGUUUGGUCUGCUGGCAUCCAUCCUGUUUGGUUAUGAUUCAUACACAAUCUACAUGCAGAUCAAAGGUGGCCGACAGCAUUCAGCUGCUCCCACAGAUGAGGGAGUAUAAACACAGCUACAUGAAGGAAUUAAAAACGACGACAGAAGAUAUUGAGAUAUCAAGGAUGCGCUACCUGUCCACUGACCGACCCCAAGUAUCUAGGCAUUUACCUGGGACACAGCAGCCCUAUAACCUGUAACUAUGACAGCCUUUCUCUGUCCUUAGUAUAAACAGUUUUGUGGAUGACAACCAAGAAAAAAGUGUGUGCUGUGUUUUCAUGUAAUACCAAUGUUGUUGUUGUUGUUGUUUGGUUUGUUUGUUUGUUUUCUACAUCCCCUCCAGAGGGUACACCUGGUUUGAUGCUUAAACUUGAAUUUGUGUGAGUUGAACAUGUGCCUCCGUAGUGGAGGGAAGGGAAAUUCUAAUUUGGUGUUAAAAUUUGUAUAUGUGUUUUCUUAGUUGAUCAGGAAGUAGUCAAAUAAUGUCCUUGUGUCUUCACUGAUGGCUAAACAUACACUCAGUUGUAUGACUGACUUGCAGUUCUGUUGCCAAAUAUUUCUCUGUGCUUACUGUGGUUCCUCUUCUUUGUUUCCAAUUGUUCCUGAUAACACAUUCAACAUUCUAAAGUGAGAGUCCAUUUUUUUUAAUAUACUGUAUUUGUUUAAAAUAAAAAAAAAAGGAUUCGUCUUUUUGUACUUUUUAUUUUAUUUGGAAAUUUGCAAAUUUGUAAUUUGCAAUGACUAUUUAUACGGUCAUUCCUUUUUGUCCUAACAAUUGAGGGUGUUCUGUGAUUCUACAAUCGCUCUCAGGCCCUAAUCUUAGACUCUUUUAGUUUUUUCCAAUAAUGUCAACUCAGGAUAAACCAUUUUUCCUCUCAUUUUUACAAUGUUGAAGACUAAUAUAAGAGGCAGACAGCGAUGUGUCUCCGUGUUUAUUUUUCAGAGGGGAAAUGUGUUAUAGAUGCAGUCGAUGUUCUGUGUUCCUGCAAUUGUUGUUUAAUACACAUGGCCGUUGCAUUUUUUUCUGUGCUGUGGAAACAUCAUUAAAAUACGUGUAUCACUA